rnacentral:rRNA from 1 species
UACGUAGGGGGCAAGCGUUGUCCGGAAUCAUUGGGCGUAAAGCGCGCGUAGGCGGCCCGGUAAGUCCGUUGUGAAAGUCAAAGGCUCAACCUUUGAAUGCCGAUGGAUACUGCCGGGCUGGAGUCCGGAAGAGGCGAGUGGAAUUCCUGGUGUAGCGGUGGAAUGCGCGGAUAUCGGGAGGAACACCGGUGGCGAAGGCGGUUCUCUGGGCCUUACCUGACGCUGAGGAGCGAAAGCGUGGGGAGCGAACAGG